rnacentral:tRNA from 1 species
ACCUGGCUGGCUCAGUCGGUUAAGUAUCUGACUUCUGCUCAGGUCAUGAUCUUGAGGUUCCUGGGUUUGAGUCCCAUGUCAGGCU